CCUACGGGGGGCUGCAGUGAGGAAUAUUGGUCAAUGGGCGGAAGCCUGAACCAGCCAUCCCGCGUGCAGGAAGACAGCCCUAUGGGUUGUAAACUGCUUUUCCAGUGGGCGAAACACUCGUACGUGUACGAGAUUGACGGUACACUGGGAAUAAGCAUCGGCUAACUCCGUGCCAGCAGCCGCGGUAAUACGGAGGAUGCAAGCGUUAUCCGGAUUUAUUGGGUUUAAAGGGUGCGUAGGCGGAUGAAUAAGUCAGUGGUGAAAGGCUGCAGCUUAACUGUAGACUUGCCGUUGAUACUGUUUAUCUUGAGUAUGGUCAAGGCAGGCGGAAUGUGUAAUGUAGCGGUGAAAUGCUUAGAUAUUACACAGAACACCGAUUGCGAAGGCAGCUUGCUGGGCCAUUACUGACGCUGAUGCACGAAAGCGUGGGGAGCGAACAGGAUUAGAUACCCUGGUAGUC
rnacentral:rRNA from 1 species